rnacentral:rRNA from 1 species
GAGUUUGAUCCUGGCUCAGGAUGAACGCUAGCGACAGGCUUAACACAUGCAAGUCGAGCGAGCUGAAUUCAAAGAUUCCUUCGGGAUGAUUUGUUGGACGCUAGCGGCGGAUGGGUGAGUAACACGUGGGCAAUCUGCCCUAAAGACUGGGAUACCACUUGGAAACAGGUGCUAAUACCGGAUAACAACAUGAAUCGCAUGAUUCAAGUUUGAAAGGCGGCGUAAGCUGUCACUUUAGGAUGAGCCCGCGGCGCAUUAGCUAGUUGGU